AGGAAGAGCGGUCAGGAGGAGGUGGUGAUACUGAGGGUGCUAGCGUUAAGCGUAAGUACGGGGCGGAAAGCGGGGGCGGUGGGUUUGUUAAGCCAGAUGUGAAAUCCCCGGGCUUAACCGGGGAAUGGCAUUUGGGACUGCAAGGCUGGAGUGCGGCAGAGGAGACUGGAAUUCCUGGUGUAGCAGUGAAAUGCGUAGAUAUCAGGAGGAAUACCGAUGGCGAAGGCAGGUCUCUGGGCUGACACUGACGCUCAUGCACGAAAGCGUGGGGAGCAAACAGGAUUAGAUACCCGAGUAGUC
rnacentral:rRNA from 1 species